CGGCAACCAUGAUAGUUUACAACAUGUCCGAUCCAGAUUUUAGAUUCUUGACUGAUGCAUUGUUUGGAUAUGAAAAGAUCAGAAAUCAUCCUUGUUUCUAAGUUUCAAGAAUCUUUGGAGGAUAACAAAUGGAAUUGGGUUCAUUCAGUUAAGGAUGGAUUUUCGGUUUGGCAAUCUGGUCUUCACGUCUAAAAUCGACUCCGGCAACUUGGCUCGGGUAGAGAAAGUGCUCAGGGAUGAAGACGAUAAUGCAGGUGAACCCAGUUUUCCGAGCGCUUUGGAAAUCAAACCAGAUUAUGAGUUUAAUGUGUGGACCAAACCAGAUGCUUCUGGAACUGAGUUUGAGAAUGCAAAUAGGUCGUGGUUUUACUUUGGAGUGCGAGGCUGGAGUCCAGGCCGUCUGAUCAAGAUAAACAUUCUCAACAUGAACCGGCAGGGCAAGCUAUACAGCCAGGGGUACGCCCCCCUCACCCGGACAGUGCCAGGCAAACACAAGUGGGAACGCAUCCGAGACAGACCAGUUUAUGAGACAGUUGACGGUCAGUUUAAUCUGACAUUUACAUAUCGGUUUCCUGACUUUAGAGGAUCUACAACUUACUUCGCGUUCUGUUUUCCCUGGUCACAAACAGAAUGUCAAGAGAAACUACAGGAACUUGACAAGAGAUACGAACACUGUAAAAAUCUCUCACCAGAUAGCCCACCUAAGUCAAUCUACUACCACAGAGAACUGCUGUGCUACACACUGGACAAGCGGCGGGUUGACCUGGUCACUGUGAGUUCGUGUCACGGCAUUACUUCCGAGAGAGAGCCGAGGUUUGACAGCAGACUCUUCCCAGACAAGGAAUAUCCCAGGUGUAGACAGUUCAAAGGAAAACGGGUGUUUAUGCUGACCAGUCGAGUGCACCCUGGCGAAACUCCAGCCAGCUUUGUAUUCAACGGAUUUCUCGACUUCAUUCUUAAGGAAAACGAUCCGCGGGCACAAGAACUCCGCAAGAAUUUUGUGUUUAAAAUGAUCCCCAUUCUCAAUCCGGACGGUGUGGUUCGCGGUCACUACCGGACAGACCAAAGAGGAGUGAAUCUCAACCGAAUGUACCUCGACCCGAGCUUUAAACUACACCCAUCGAUAUACGCCUCCAAGAGUUUACUCAUUUACCACCACGUGCAUAACAGAGUUAAAAAGGACGGUUCGGCAUCGGAAGACAUCAAAAUAGACUUCCCUCAAGGAUCGCGUGUUUCUAGUCCCGAAGCUACAAAAACUGCCAUAGAAACGAAGCGAUCGUCAAGUUCUCGGAGCAGUGACGGAUUGAACAGUACGCUCACUGGUAACUGUGGCCUUUCCAGCUGUGUGAACGAUCCCACGUCCCCUCCCAUCUCUCACAGACUCAGUUCGGAACCCAUCCAGGGGGAAGAUGUCAGAUGGGUGGGGGACGCCGAAUCCGCGCGGUCGAUGAAAUCGGACAUCACUCCUGUGACAUUUAAACCCUUUAAAAUAGAGCCCUUGGACUUAGCCGACCUUAACGAUGACAAUACGUCGCAAAGCGAGAGUGAACUCAACAUGAACGAUGACGCAAAGCCAGGUCAUGUGCAUGUGCCGUCUUCGUGCAGCAGCGUGCUGAGCUACGUGCAGAAUGACCCACGCAAAGUCGACAGCGAGCUGAGGUUGAAGCUUUCCGAGCUGAACAUGUCGGAUGAUUUCCGGUGUAACGGUGACAAGUACGAGCCGUUUGACUCGGACACCGAUCAGGACACGCUGGGUAACGAGGGGUCGGAGGAUGAAGGCAAGUUUAACGCCAGUGACCUCGGUUCGGGCAGCCCAAUCAACUCCCCACACCUGGUCAAUCCCAAGCUGCGUGAGAUUCCGGCCACUGAAAGUGGGAUUGCCUUUUACGUCGACUUACACGGACAUGCGUCAAAACGAGGGUGCUUUAUUUAUGGAAAUUACUUUGAAGAUGAAGAUACUCAGGUUAAAAACAUGGCCUUUCCCAAGCUGAUCUCACUGAACUCUGCUCACUUUGACUUCACUGGUUGUAACUUCUCUGAACGCAACAUGUACACCAAGGACAAGCGCGAUGGAAUGUCCAAAGAGGGCAGUGGUCGAGUGGCCAUCUAUAAGGCCAUCGGAAUUAUUCACAGCUACACCCUGGAGUGUAAUUAUAACACUGGCCGCCUCGUGAACCCCGUACCCCCGGCGUACGGCGACGAUGGGCGCGCGACUCCACCUCCUCUGGCUGGAUUUCCUCCCAAGUACACACAGGCUCACUUCGAAGAUGUUGGUAAAGGUUUGGCGAUAGCGGCCCUUGACAUGUUUGACAUGAACCCGUGGACUCGGAUAACCCUGUCAGAACACAACAGUCUUGGCGGAGUGUUAGACUCGGUGCGUAGAUAUCUGCGGAGUAUCAGAGGUGGGCCGAGAAUUCCGCGCAACUCCAUCAGCAAACCGAACGUCAGGAAUGGCAAUAGCACAACCAACGUACGUCAGACUCGGAUGACCGUGGGGGAUUCGUCGAUGUACCAGAGCACCCGCUCCAUGCCGCACCUGGGAUCGAGCGACACCAACGUGCGGUCGGGCAGCACCUCCAAUAUGAGGGCAGGCUUCUCUCGACCAGGGACGCGCUCCGUAGGCAAGAAAGAACUCGCUCCGGUCAGAGAAGGAAAUGUUUCAGCUUCGCGAGGCAUGAGUGGCAGCACCACAGGUAGUCAGACCCGUCGUCGAGGCAGCAGUCUGGUUAGCAACCCGACCACAAAACCUACAUCAGCAUCGUCACUCCCUGCAACGUCAGCAGCCAUCGUGUUGUCCAUGUCAACAUUAGACGAGCGGCGCCAGCUGUCAGCUGAUAGUACACUGAGAUCUCGGGAGGAGGAGAAGGUUCAACAGUUGAAGAAUUCCGGACUGAUGGCCAUAUUUAAGAAGCCUGGCCCACCCUGCAGAAUACCGCUAGCCACCGGUCGCUCUCAGCUGCAGCUUCAGAACUCCACACCAAGCAUGGAGUCCACCACAUCUCAGUCGAGACUGAUAUCAAGGGGCAACAUGCGCAGUCAGAGGAUCAUGUCUCAGCUGACGAGUUCGAGAAGGUUGCUCAGCGACUCGGCAGUUGUAGCCGACAUUUCGAAGCUGCCUGCAGUCGAGGCUGUAGCCGCUCCCUGCAAUCAUCCGUCAUUAGGCUUGUCUGGAAACACAGCGGAACCUGUUGAAGCUCCUAAACGACGGCGUAGACAAAACUUUGUGAAACGUCGAAGUGUGACGAUAAGUCCUAAGCAAGGAAGCUUCAAAGGUGGAAAACAGACUAGCGACUAUGACACUGAGCAGCGUAAACCGCGACGGAAGCGCCAUAGAAAGAGUACUGUCACGCCACCAACCGAAGACGAGAUAGGGCUAGGAUUGUCACUCUGACAAUGACUCGGCAUCAAUACUGUCAGCCAAUCCAACUUACACCAGUUGUCCUUCAAACUUCAGCCAACCUAUUUGAAAAAAUACUGGGACCCUACGUCCCUCAUCCCCCAUGACACCAUGGAGAGAAUGGUCGAGGAAAAUCA
rnacentral:misc_RNA from 1 species